ACAAGGCGUACCCGUCAACGUAUGAGUUUUGCAACUCUAACUACAGCGAACCGAGAUGGAAUCAAAUUUAUAACCCGACGCAGGAAUUUCACCGUGUUGAACGAAAUGCGGCGGAAGCUGUAAAAAGGGCACUCGGAAGAGAGGAGGAGGAGAUACGAGGAACGGCGGAAAGUGCAGAGUGCAUCUGCGAUGAACGAGAUAGUUUCUAAAGGGGAUUUUCUGCGACGGUCUGAAACUGCAAGAAGACAAAGCGACAAUGCUUUGUCAUCCGAGACAGGAUCCAUUUGGCUUAAUUCUCAAAAGAAAAUACUGAUGACUCUCACGCCUCGAUUCUCGGAUAAGAAUUUGUCGUUGGUGUCACUGGCGCCACAGCAGUCUGAUAUAUCCUUACCGGUCCCGACUUAAUCCGACUGGCCAUCAGUGCACCUGUGCGGAGACCAUAAACUGAGAAUUAUGCUCGGCUAGAUCUGUCGACUUUUAUUGCCGGUCGUAUUGCCGUUUCAGCGUUAGCUUUGACCUCAUUAAUUAUUCGCGCGCGGGCGAAAUCACGACGAUAUAAAAUUAACGAACUCGUCGUCUUCUCAUAAAAAUAGAAUCGAAUAGAAAUUAAACGACAUUUCUACAAUUAUAAUGUGCAAUUUCGUUGAGAAAUUGUUAUAAAUUAUUAAAUACGUUUCGUAGAUUAUAACAUGUACCAUAAAUCGACAUGAUUUACAGCUUUACAGAAAUGAAGAAAAUAUACUCAAAUAUGAUAAAAUUAUCAAGAGCAUAGUGCAACCAAGCGAAACCAGAGGAAGCAUUAUAAAUUAAAACGUAAAUGGAGGAAGCAAAUUCUGUUUCGUUUCGAAACAGCUACAUUAUGCAGAGUAUCGCGUACGAAAGUUACACCGUAAAGCUUUAAAACUUAAAUCGAGCAGGGAAAUCAGCACACUCGGCAUUAAAUUACAGAUCUUCAGACGAAGCAAUGUCUCGAUCCCGUAGAAUCACGGAGUAAAAGUCACGGGACAUUUGCCCUUUCGAGCUCGUUCUGCAACGCGGCUAAUCCUCGUCGACUCGUCUCAUCUCUCGUAAUUCACUGUCGGGUCGGGUGAAAUCAACGGGCAAACGCCCGUCAUGCACACUGGCGUGAAAGCGCAGCGAGCGGUAGCGAUUGAUUUACGCGUUGUUCGUGGUCACGAAGAUCGGUGGAAGAUCGCGUUCAGCUUAUUAAUUGAUAUUCCCGGCGGAAGAAGAUCCGGCCGGGCGAGGACCGGUCGUGUGUGCCGAGCAAAGAACACGGGCCAUCGAGUUCCCGAUGGUAUCUUUAUAUUUCAUUAUUACAUUAAGCACUUCUGCACACAGCGGAGGGUACGCAUCGCGCGUCGGGGCGCCCAACAAUGAGGGCACCCACGGGGGCACACCCGUGAUCUCUACGGCGUUCCACGGACGUAUUAUAGGCCGCGCGCGCACAAUAGCUCGGUUCGAUCAAACACACGCAGCCCCUCGCCCCUCGCAUCCCGGGAUCCUCGCCGGCGAUGCGGCGAUACUCUUCGGAUACUCUUUACGUCAGAUACAACGCGAUUGUAUCGUUGGCUCAAGCCCCGAAGUGGAUCAACCGCGCCAUUUACUCGGCUGGCUAUCGGGGGAAAAAUUAUUAUAUCGAAACGUCGAUCGCGCAGGAGAUGUGCAUCGAGACGCCAAUUGACGUGCGGUUGUGUCAGUUAAUUCUGUCGCGCGUUCUCAAUUUGUACGCUUACGAUUUCUUCCGGAUUUAUAACUCGACACGCUUGCAUUUUACAGCGAUCUGAAUUAAAAGGAAUUUCAAGAAUUUGCCGCGGUGCCUGCAAUUGUGCAAAGCAAUCGAGUCUAAUAUGUAAGACGCGGAUCUCGUCGUCUCUCGAGCCCAUGAGAAAUUCACAACUACUUGCGAGCUUAUAUCGAGCUUCCUCGGCUUGAUACGCUGUUCUCAAUAGAUGUCGGCCUGCAUAAUACAGCAGACGUUUUUGGAACGUAUCGUUUGCCCCCGAGGCGAUCAUCUUUUCUGCUUGUGUACUCAAGAAAAAUUAUAACCGUGUAGCCCGUGGGCCUGAUGAAUGCCCAUAACUGCUGAUCUCUGUUUGGUUACGGAACUAGUUGGGCUGGUCGGAUAUGACCGUUUUAACGAGCCAUUAAACGGUAGUCCGACCGUUUUAUGAGAAUCACUGCGUCGCUAUCGAUUUUACGAUCCACACGCCGAAUCCCGCCGAAUAAUAAAUUGCUAGUUUCUUUUAUUGUCGCACGGUAAAUAUAUUCUGCUGGAAGUUGAUCACACAGUUUUGUCUGCGAAUAGGAUUUAGCGAUUUAAACGAAUACGAUUUGCAGAUAGCGGAGAUUAAAAAAGCGCAUUAAUAAUUAUACGCGGGUUUUUCAUCGCGCCGUUCAACGUAUACGCAUAUGCGUAUCCUUCUCGUUUGAACUAGGAUGAAAACGAGGUCAUUCCCUAUUGUUCUCUUUUUCCGUUGCGAUUAACGUCACGUUAUAAUCUAUCUGCUUGCUGGAAUAUCCCGAAUAUCUGGACGCGCAAAAUGCGAAGCGAUAUAAAAUUUAUGCAGUAUCAAUGUAUAUAUCGUGCUACUUUCGCACAUCUGUACAGUAUUCCACAUGUGCCGCACUAAUGUGAUCCUACAUACGAAAAACGUGCCUGUGACCCCUCUAAAAUUUUCGUAUUAACUGCGAUAUUUAAAUAAUGCAUGUAUUGGCUCCAAAUACAAAUUUGUGCGGUUAUUCGAGAUUAUUUCACUGAUAACGUGCAUUGAGCGAUUAUUUCACUAGUGAGUGACGUGCAGUCCAAUAAAGUUCUUUUCAUGUCCCGGAUGUGUACAAUUAUGUGUACAAUAAUAUUACAGAAUAAAAAAGUAAAAAAUGGA
rnacentral:lncRNA from 1 species